AGCCUUCUGUAUUCAUGCUGAGAUUUGGUCACACACCAGACCACAAGGGCAGAUUACACUCCCAAGAUUAGUGAAGCG
rfam:Schistosoma curassoni strain Dakar, Senegal genome assembly, scaffold: SCTD_contig0006039